CUCCAAAGUGUUGAGUUCAGUUCAGGGCAACUUCCCUGUUCUGUUAAUUAAACUUUGGGACAUUGAAAUUGGCUGAGGGAAAUUACUGAAUAGAGAAUAUUACUCUAUUCGUAUACUUCUAGCCUACAUAA
ensembl:snoRNA LOC120096387 small nucleolar RNA SNORA36 family